CCCCUUUCAAUUCGGGGUGGGCGCCUUAUAUGCGCUCCUGCCGGUCUCGUGCCGGCUAUGACGAUAAACUGUGGCGUGCAAUAGGCACAGCGGACCCGGGGGCGGUACCCGGCGGCUCCACCACCUCUCUCGCCUUGCGGGAUAGAUGACGGGGCCGAACUAGGAUCGACGUGUGUUGAAAAGCGUUGCUUUCGUCCGGGCUGAGUAACCCGUUAAAGGCUCAAAACUCACAAGUGCCAACGACAACGAAGCACUUGCUCUCGCUGCGUAACCUGACGGCCUAACGGCCAGAUCUUACAAAGCGAAAGCGCGGUUGGACCCGCCGGGCAACAGAAGGAUACCAGGGGUUGGGGGCGUACCUAGCAACAGAAACGCCCUACC
rnacentral:tmRNA from 1 species